AGAGUUUGAUCCUGGCUCAGGAUGAACGCUGGCGGCGUGCCUAAUACAUGCAAGUCGAGCGAAUUGUUGAGUUUACUCAACAGUUAGCGGCGGACGGGUGAGUAACACGUGGGCAACCUGCCUAUAAGACUGGGAUAACUUCGGGAAACCGGAGCUAAUACCGGAUAUGUUCUUUUCUCGCAUGAGAGAAGAUGGAAAGACGGUCUCGGCUGUCACUUAUAGAUGGGCCCGCGGCGCAUUAGCUAGUUGGUGAGGUAAUGGCUCACCAAGGCAACGAUGCGUAGCCGACCUGAGAGGGUGAUCGGCCACACUGGGACUGAGACACGGCCCAGACUCCUACGGGAGGCAGCAGUAGGGAAUCUUCCGCAAUGGACGAAAGUCUGACGGAGCAACGCCGCGUGAACGAUGAAGGCUUUCGGGUCGUAAAGUUCUGUUGUUAGGGAAGAACAAGUACCAGAGUAACUGCUGGUACCUUGACGGUACCUAACCAGAAAGCCACGGCUAACUACGUGCCAGCAGCCGCGGUAAUACGUAGGUGGCAAGCGUUAUCCGGAAUUAUUGGGCGUAAAGCGCGCGCAGGUGGUUCCUUAAUUCUGAUGUGAAAGCCCCCGGCUCAACCGGGGAGGGGUCAUUGGAAACUGGGGAACUUGAGUGUAGAAGAGGAAAGUGGAAUUCCACGUGUAGCGGUGAAAUGCGUAGAGAUGUGGAGGAACACCAGUGGCGAAGGCGACUUUCUGGUCUAUAACUGACGCUGAGGCGCGAAAGCGUGGGGAGCAAACAGGAUUAGAUACCCUGGUAGUCCACCCCGUAAACGAUGAGUGCUAAGUGUUAGAGGGUUUCCGCCCUUUAGUGCUGCAGCUAACGCAUUAAGUGCCCCGCCUGGGGAGUACGGCCGCAAGGCUAAAACUCAAAGGAAUUGACGGGGGCCCGCACAAGCGGCGGAGCAUGCGGAUUAAUUCGAUGCAACGCGAAGAACCUUACCAAGGCUUGACAUGAACCGGAAAGGCCUGGAAACAGGUCCCCCACUUGUGGCCGGUUUACAGGUGGUGCAUGGUUGUCGUCAGCUCGUGUCGUGAGAUGUUGGGUUAAGUCCCGCAACGAGCGCAACCCUCGUUCUAUGUUGCCAGCGGGUUAUGCCGGGGACUCAUAGGAGACUGCCGGGGUCAACUCGGAGGAAGGUGGGGACGACGUCAAAUCAUCAUGCCCCUUAUGUCUUGGGCUUCACGCAUGCUACAAUGGCCGGUACAAAGGGUUGCGAUACUGUGAGGUGGAGCUAAUCCCAAAAAGCCGGUCUCAGUUCGGAUUGAGGUCUGCAACUCGACCUCAUGAAGUUGGAGUCGCUAGUAAUCGCAGAUCAGCAACGCUGCGGUGAAUACGUUCCCGGGCCUUGCACACACCGCCCGUCA
rnacentral:rRNA from 1 species